rnacentral:rRNA from 1 species
GAUGAACGCUGGCGGCGUGCCUAAUACAUGCAAGUCGAGCGAACAGAUGAGGAGCUUGCUUCUUUGACGUUAGCGGCGGACGGGUGAGUAACACGUGGGUAACCUACCUAUAAGACUGGGAUAACUCCGGGAAACCGGAGCUAAUGCCGGAUAAUAUUUAGAACCGCAUGGUUCUAAAGUGAAAGAUGGUUUUGCUAUCACUUAUAGAUGGAUCCGCGCCGUAUUAGCUAGUUGGUAAGGUAACGGCUUACCAAGGCAACGAUGCGUAGUCGACCUGAGAGGGUGAUCGGCCACACUGGAACUGAGACACGGUCCAGACUCCUACGGGAGGCAGCAGUAGGGAAUCUUCCGCAAUGGGCGAAAGCCUGACGGAGCAACGCCGCGUGAGUGAUGAAGGUCUUCGGAUCGUAAAACUCUGUUAUUAGGGAAGAACAAAUGUGUAAGUAACUGUGCACGUCUUGACGGUACCUAAUCAGAAAGCCACGGCUAACUACGUG